ACACACUCUAAGGUAAGACAUCAAAAUAUGCCACCAUCAUGUUGUGCAGGAAGCUAUUUUAGGAUUGCUCGUACACUGCACACUCAUGUCCCUGCCAUGCCCACGUAGAACGAGAUGUUGCUUGGCAGGAGCCUUGAGAACCAAGCUAUUUCUGUAGUGGAUGCUCGCUGCAGCAGCUCGAGCAGCAGACUAUGGGACCAUGGGGGUGGACGUUGGCCAGGUAAGGGACAAGGCAGAGCAGAUGUUCCCAGGAUGGUUGCAUAAUUCAUGCCCUUG